UAGGGAAUAUUGGUAAUGGGCGAAAGCCUGAACCAGCAACGCCGCGUGAGUGAUGAAGGCCUUCGGGUUGUAAAACUCUUUUUAUGGGGACGAGGAAGGACGGUACCCAUAGAAUAAGCUUCGGCUAACUACGUGCCAGCAGCCGCGGUAAAACGUAGGAAGCGAGCGUUAUCCGGAUUUACUGGGCGUAAAGCGCAUGCAGGCGGUUUGGAAAGUUGGAUGUGAAAGCUCCUGGCUUAACUGGGAGAGGUCGUUCAAUACUUCCAGACUAGAGGAUGUGAGAGGAAAGUGGAAUUCCGAGUGUAGUGGUGAAAUGCGUAGAUAUUCGGAGGAACACCAGUGGCGAAAGCGGCUUUCUGGCACAUAUCUGACGCUCAUAUGCGAAAGCUAGGGUAGCAAACGGG
rnacentral:rRNA from 1 species